rnacentral:rRNA from 1 species
UACGAAGGGGGCUAGCGUUGUUCGGAAUUACUGGGCGUAAAGCGCGUGUAGGCGGCUCGGAAAGUCGGAUGUGAAAGCCCUGGGCUUAACCUAGGAAGUGCAUUCGAAACUCUCGAGCUUGAGUUCUGGAGAGGAAGGCGGAAUUCUCGGUGUAGAGGUGAAAUUCGUAGAUAUCGAGAGGAACACCGGUGGCGAAGGCGGGUCUCUGGGCCGAUACUGACGCUGAGGAGCGAAAGCGUGGGAGC